rnacentral:piRNA from 1 species
UGUCUAGCCGAGGUAGUCUUCUUUGCC